AUUGAACGCUGGCGGCAGGCCUAACACAUGCAAGUCGAGCGGAGCGGCGGACGGGUGCGUAAUGCCUAGGAAUCUGCCUGGUAGUGGGGGAUAACGUCCGGAAACGGGCGCUAAUACCGCAUACUCUCAGAUGAGCCUAGGUCGGAUUAGCUAGUUGGGGUGGUAACGGCUUACCAAGGCGACGAUCCGUAGCUGGUCUGAGAGGAUGAUCAGUCACACUGGAACUGAGACACGGUCCAGACUCCUACGGGAGGCAGCAGUGGGGAAUAUUGGACAAUGGGCGCAAGCCUGAUCCAGCCAUGCCGCGUGUGUGAAGAAGGUCUUCGGGUUGUAAAGCACUUUAAGUUGGGAGGCGUUACCAGCAGAAUAAGCACCGGCUAACUUCGUGCCAGCAGCCGCGGUAAUAC
rnacentral:rRNA from 1 species